ensembl:lncRNA
CGCUGAUGAUUCUGGACAUUUUUCCGUGUUGUCAAUAAUGACUUUAAUGAUCUGCAAAUUGAUUUAUAGUCGAAAAACGGAAACAUCAUUGCCUACUCAGUAAGACUACUGGGAUAUUAUGGUUCAGGUUUAUGUUUUUUAUGUUCGGUGGAUUUACUUUUGAAGGCCUAAAUAAUAUUAUUGUAGUUUCAAAAAACAUUCAGGGAGGAUAUAGUUCUGCAGCCUCGCAAGCAUCAACUGUUUGCAGAUACCUCUGGGCCACAGCAAAUCUCCCAACGGCCUCGGCUGUGACAAUAUUUUGGUUGAAAAUAAGUCAUAGGAGAAAUCCGUUUGAUUCUGGGGUACAACUCAGAAUCUUGCAUUGCCUUGGGUGAGAACACAGAGGAGGAAGAUAGAGCUUCAGCCCUGAGCCUCUCACCGAGAGACAGCUUUGAUGUGGCCCCGCUGGGCCGCCGCCCCCCCUGUGCCCUGAUUGGUGGAUGGCUGGCGGGGCGAUGUGGGAGUGGAUGGGAGAUGAAAGCGCACGGGGCAGCGAGGGGGCACCUGCACACAGAGCCUGGCCUGUGUGGAUCCUUCAUCUUCAACCGCUUCCCCUGACCGCCGGCUGAACUCCCGUGUCAGCGACCAUCACACGGUCGCUGUGACCUCUCCAUCUCUGCCUGCCUCGUUCUCUCUAUUCACUCGGUCUGUCUCUCUCUCUCUACUCACUCAAUCGCUCUGUCUGCAUCUCUUAUUCCUUCUCCGUCUUUCUCUCCAACUCUCUCUCUUUCCAUAUAAGUGUAUUGUGAGAGUGUAGUUGUCAGUUGACAGGUGUAGUAUGUGCUGUGUAUUCAGCUGCAAUAUACAAGGUGAAACAAUAUGUUGCAAGGAUAUUGAUGUCUGUGCCUCUGGAAUUGAAGUGGUCUUUGUAGAAGUGAUCCCAGCAUGUGCUCUGAACAAAAUGAAUACAUUGCCAAUAUUACAGUUAUAAAGCAUGUACUUUGUGUUGGAUCUUCAUCUAAUUUCAUGUCAUACUAAUAUUCCAGGAACACAGAAAUCAGUUUCACUGUAAGGGUGUGGUAAUGAAAAUUGUAAUGACAAUUUUAAAUAUUUUACAUAUUAAGACAAUAUCCAUUUGAUGUGAAGCAGAUGAAAAUUUGCCAACAUCUGUCAAGUUUCAGCUGUAGGGCUGAUUGAUUUGCCACUCUUGACCUCUGUGUGAAUUUGAUUAACCAUAAAAUGGUGCAUUAUGUCACCCCUAUUAGGACCAUUUAGUAUUGCCAGAAGGUCAGAGCAAAAAAUACCUCUUUUUCACUUUUAUUGAGAUGUCUCAGCAAUAAGGGCACUGUUUCAGUACAGCUGUAUGCCAAGAAGGCGCAAUCAGCUACAAUGAACUCCUCUGUGCCAUCACAUUUCAGACGUUUCACUGUGUCCAAAAGAAGAUGUGAUGCGAUUUCUUACAAAUAAAACAAAUAAAAAGAAGAAGAAGAAAAAAGGAAUGUUGCCGGUUGAUAAACUGAAAUAAAUGAUUUUAGUUUGAGUAACAUGAUUAUAAAUUCAUUUUGGUUUAUCAUGUUUACAUAAGCUUGGAUUCAGUAUUUUGGAUGUGAAUAAAAAAUGAUCACA